rnacentral:sRNA from 1 species
GGGAAGCCCGCGGAAGGCGAGGUGCCUGGCCUGCCAUGUGGUCUCCUAGCAGGAGGAGCGAGAGAGCCCAGCAGCGAUACGGUGGUUUUCGACCCAGCUAGGGGCCAGGCCGUGCGAUUGGGAGCCCGGGGCAGCCCCCCGCGCAGUCACCACGACGCGGCACCCGUGGACGGGCGUUGGCUCUGCGUGGUGGGCGGCUGGGACGGGUCUCGCCGCUUGGCCACAGUGACCGCACUGGACACAGAGCGCGGUGUGUGGGAGGCGUGGACAGGGACCCCUGGUGACUGCCCCCCCGCCGGCCUCAGUAGUCACACCUGCACCCGAAUCUCUGACCGAGAGCUGCAGGUGGCUGGCCGGGAGGGCGGUAUCCACACUCAGCGACGCUAUGGAAGCAUCUACACAUUAAGGCUGGACCCCAGCGCCCGCACCUAUUGGAGGAAACACCUGUUGCUCCUCAUUUGAUGGAACAGCUUGCAAGGCUUGUGAGCAGUGGGCAGGGGUCCCAGAAGGGGCCCCAUGGACUACGGCAUCACUCAUGUUCUGUGGUCGGGCCCUUUGCUGUGCUGUUUGGUGGAGAAACU